CUGGGUCGUUGACCCAGGGUUUUUGAGUUUGUUAUAUUAUUUAUAAUUUCUAGUCUUUGGUUUCUUUGAGUUCUGUCUUAUGGUUUAUGUCUCUGUCAUCUCUAGUUGCUCUCUCCCCUGUCAGCUGUAUCCCCUUGUCUAGUUCGCGUCUCUGUGUAUCCUUAGUUGCUAUAUUCCCGUGUCCAGUCAGUCUGUGUCUGUAAGUUCAGUCUGUGUUGUGUUUCCUGUUUUACUUUGAAGGUCUCUGUCUUUUCUCAGUGUGUUCAGUUUAUGCUUCUUUGUCUCGUUAGUCCUGAUUUGCCCCAGCUGUGUUUCCCUCCUGUUGCCCGUUCCCUGAUUACUCCCUCUGCGUAUUUAAGCCCUGUGUUUUCCUGUGCUCUCUGUCGCGUUCUACCGUUUAUUUUGCUGUGUGUUCCGUCUGCCUGCCUGUGUCGAGGUGACGCAGAAUGUUGUGCAGUCCCAUAUUGACUGUAUCCUCAGCUGUCCUGUUUGCCUCGUAAGCAAACUUCAGGGGGUCCAGUAGCGGCUUUGUGAUGUCCUUCAUGUGGCUCAACACCAGUCUUUCAAAUGACUUCAUGACCACAAACAUCAGGGCGGCAGGCCUGUAGUCAUUUAAUUAUGUAAUGGUGGACUUCUUUGGGAGAGAAAUGAUAAUGGAGCAUUUAAAUCAGCAGAGGAACUUCACACAGCUUCAGAGAUCUGUUAAAGAUUCGGGUGAAGAUGGGCACCAGUUGGUCGGCACAGACUUUCAGGCACAAGGGGGACACACCAUCAGGUCCUGGAAACUUCCUGGUCUUCUGUCUCUGGAAAAGCAGACACACAUCCACCUCACAGAUCUUUAAGCACUUUUUGUAUUAGUACCUAAUACUCGGAUCGACUCACCACGGAUUGCUGCAACUUGACUUGGAGCAACAGGUUUUCCAUUACAAACAAGUACCACCUAGUGUGUGGUCGUCAUAGCAAUGCCGCAGAGCAUCCUGUGACAUGAUUAGUAUGUGACAUGAACGCUACAACAAAGGUGGACGUAGAGGAAAGAAUAUACCUGCUGCUCAAACUGUGUUUUGUGUUUUUGGUUUAAGUUUUAUUCUGGGAAUUGUGGUUUUCUGUCUUGUAUUUCCUGUUUUACUUUAGAGAGUCCCAUGUCUGGUGUUCAGGGUUUUGGGUUUUGCUUUCCCGUUGUCUUGUCUAAUUAGGUUCAGCUGUGUCUCCCUCCUGUGUGCCAUUUCCUUUUUACUUUGGGUGCAUAUCUAGUGCGUGGUUACCUCUGUUCUUCAUCUGAGCUUCUGCGUAUCAUUCUGUGUAUCAUGGUUCUUGGUCAUCCUGUUCAUCUUCCCCAGUGUCUCUCCAGCUACGUUUCCAUGUUGCAGGUUGUUUAGUUUUAUGUUUCUAGUUUCAUGUUUAGCUGACCCCAGUUUGGGUUUUUG
ensembl:lncRNA